UAAGACGAACCGUGCGAACGUUGUUCGGAAUCACUGGGCUUAAAGGGUGCGUAGGCGGGCGAUCAAGUCAGGGGUGAAAUCCUCCAGCUUAACUGGAGAACUGCCUUUGAUACUGGUCAUCUUGAGUAAGGUAGGGGCGUGCGGAACUGAUGGUGGAGCGGUGAAAUGUGUUGAUAUCAUCAGGAACUCCGGUGGCGAAAGCGGCGCGCUGGACCUUUACUGACGCUGAGGCACGAAAGCUAGGGGAGCGAACGGGAUUAGAUACCCCGGUAGUCCUAGCCCUAAACGAUGAGAACUAGGUAGUAGCCUUGACAUGGGGUUACUGCCGAAGCAAAAGUGCUAAGUUCUCCGCCUGGGGAGUAUGGUCGCAAGGCUG
rnacentral:rRNA from 1 species